CCCCUUCUCUCAUUCACCGCAGAGCACCAGCACCAGAACCCUUUGGCACUGUCAGCCUUCACUUCUGCACUUAAAGCGCUCUAACUCUGGAGUGGGAUAUCCUGUCUGCAGAUAGGAGUUGGGAAGACAGCCACAGGACAGGUCAGGAUACAGACUAACCUCACACUUCAGACAUGUCAGACUCCGAGAGCGCUGCUGCCCCCGCCGAGGCCCCCGUACCUGCUGCUUGUGCUGCUGUGAAGGCUGACCUGGACAAAUGCAUUGCAGAGAAGGGAGCGGAGGGCUGUAAAGAUCUUCUUGAGGCCUUUGCUGCUUGUGUAAAGAGUGCAGCUGAGGGGACGUCAUGAGGAGGCUCCCUCCCAACUCAAAUGUCCACUGCACUGAGUCCUGUAAGUUCCCAGCAUUCCCUCCUGCACAACAGCUCUGGACUGACUGAGACCAUCAUGGCGGAACACUGUGCUGAUUCAAGUUUUGGGAUGUGGCCGCAGUACCAUCUUCCCCCUCCUUCUGUCUUACGCCCUCCCCCGUCCCUCUAUGGCCCAUUUACAAUACAUCCACUUAGACGAUUCCAUGGAGCUGAUGGGCUGUAAUGUCGACUGUGACUUGAGAUAAAUACUUAUAAAUGGAAAUAAAGGUAUCAAAUACUUGAUAGAAAAAACAA